AUAUAUACAUCCAUAUGCUAUAGAUUACUUCAUCAGGACGUACCAUGUCUCGCCAUAACUUGCUUAUGACUAUUAUUUUCCCGGCUUACGACACACUUUUUUAGAUAGAUAACGAUAUAUCUAGCUACCUAUGUAUAUGCCAUAUAAUUCCAUUUUAUUGGAAUUCAUAUUAGUAUAUACAAUUUUUUUCUAUUAGAUGCACUACGUCUCGAUCAGUUCAGAUGAUGACUGGUCGGUCGAGGCAUUGAAAGGCGUACAUGAAAUUUGUAAUUUCAUACAGAUCGAAUAGUUCUACUAUAAACGCGCUUCCCAAUACACUUCAUCGUCUGCAGUGAAGGCAGUGAAGGCGCUGCACAUGUAUAUCUAUAUGCACACAGUGAUGUAGAUAUAUGUAUGUAUAUAUAAUAUGUAGAAAAAAAGACGUAUGUCAAUUUUACGAUUUUUUAUCGUUUGAAAACCAAAUAAAAAUUAAAGGCAUUUAAAAACCAUUUGUUAU